GUUUGUUCACUGAUGGAGAGGGGCACUUAGAGCAAGAUACCCGACCUUGACUGGGGACCAAGCACGAAAUCCCUAAGAGGUGACAGGAAGAGAGAAGUCUGAAACGUUAAGUGAGUUAACCAGAUGGUGUCAGAAGUGGAAUCCAAAGAAGAGCUAACAACCCCCAGGAGCGCUGAGCGUGGUUCCCACUCGGCCCAUUGUGCCCAUUGCUCUCUUGGAGCAGCUGGGGAUCGUGAGUUUCGCUCUUGUUUCCCAGGCUAGAGUACAAUGGCACAAUCACGGGUCACCGCAACCUCCACCCCCUGGGCUCAAGUGAUUCCCCUGCCUCAGCCUCCUGAGUAGCUGGGAUUACAGAAUUUGAUCAGAGAAGCUGAACCACUACAAGCAAUGUUAAGAAUUUAUUGCUGGAAUACCCCUUACACAAUUGAGAGAGCCAGUUAAGCUAUGUGAGCCUGCUACCCCUAGAACUGGAGCUGGGCUUGAAGUCUGUAAGACUAGGAAGGAAUGAGGAGGGCAGGACCAAAGUGGAACCUGUGAAGGUAAACUUGGCAUCCAUAUCUGUUUCUCAGCUGAACUGGCAGUGGUAUCUCAGCACCUCCAAGCCUCCAACUUUGAUGAUGUUCUGCAAAAGAGCUUGAACAAAUUGCCAAAACAUCAGCCCCUGACAUGAGCAGCUUUCAGAAAAACUGAAGGAGGAGAUCCAGGGGCAGUUUGAGAAGCUGCCAACCAAGCUGCUGCACUAUGCAGAUCCACCACAAUGUCAUAAACUGUGUGAGCAGCAACAGUGCGUGACCCCACACAGGUCUGAGUGUAAUUCUGGCUGCUGGAUUCCAGUUAGACUUUAAAUUCCAUGCAAAUUUCACUUGUGGCAAAUCUUAACUUAGAACUGAACAUGGAAGAGAAUACUGAGAAACUUAGAUCCAACUAACCUGACAGUUUACAAAGCCACCACAGUCUAUCUUUUGUGAAGUCAUCGUCCAAUAUAUAUCCCUCUUUUAAUUAUACUAAACUCCCAAAUAAAUGCAAUGGCAAAAUCAUGAGUCUACCUAAUAGGAUUCAACCAUACUCUGUAUAACCAAAACUCACUCCCCUUUCCCAAAAGAGGAUUCAGAGUCUUUUUUGGCUGAUAUUUAUUCCUCUUCUUACUGAACCAUGCUUUCUCAAAUGCUUAGAUAUAAUGCUUGCUACUAUGAAAACAUGUUAGAUGGUAGAGGUACGGGAGGGAGAAUG
rnacentral:lncRNA from 1 species